rnacentral:rRNA from 1 species
AACUAUACAACUUUCAGCAACGGAUCUCUUGGCUCUCGCAUCGAUGAAGAACGCAGCGAAAUGCGAUAAGUAAUGUGAAUUGCAGAAUUCAGUGAAUCAUCGAAUCUUUGAACGCACCUUGCGCUCCUUGGUAUUCCGAGGAGCAUG